rnacentral:rRNA from 1 species
AGCGAACGCUGGCGGCAGGCUUAACACAUGCAAGUCGAGCGGGCGUAGCAAUACGUCAGCGGCAGACGGGUGAGUAACGCGUGGGAACAUACCUCUUGGUUCGGAACAACACAGGGAAACUUGUGCUAAUACCGGAUAAGCCCUUUACGGGGAAAGAUUUAUCGCCGAGAGAUUGGCCCGCGUCUGAUUAGCUAGUUGGUGAGGUAACGGCUCACCAAGGCGACGAUCAGAGCUGGUCUGAGAGGAUGAUCAGCCACAUUGGGACUGAGACACGGCCCAAACUCCUACGGGAGGCAGCAGUGGGGAAUAUUGGACAAUGGGCGCAAGCCUGAUCCAGCCAUGCCGCGUGAGUGAUGAAGGCCCUAGGGUUGUAAAGCUCUUUUGUGCGGGAAGAUAAUGACGGUACCGCAAGAAUAAGCCCCGGCUAACUUCGUGCCAGCAG